GACGAACGCUGGCGGCGUGCUUAACACAUGCAAGUCGAACGGAAAGGCCCUGCUUUUGUGGGGUGCUCGAGUGGCGAACGGGUGAGUAACACGUGAGUAACCUUCCCUGGACUGUGUGAUAACUUCAGGAAGCUGGGGCUAAUACCUGAUAGGAGCUCCUGCUGCAUGGUGGUGUUCGGACAGUUUCGGCGGUUGGGGAUGGACUCGCGGCUUAUCAGCUUGUGGGUGGGGUAGUGGCCUACCAAGGCUUUGACGGAUAGCCGGCCUGAGAGGGUGACCGGCCACAUUGGGACUGCGAUACGGCCCAGACUCCUACGGGAGGCAGCAGUGGGGAAUAUUGCCCAAUGGGCGGAAGCCUGAUGCAGCAACGCCGCGUGCGGGAUGCCGGCCUUCGGGUUGUAAACCGCUUUCGCCUGUGACGAAGCGUGAGUGACGGUAAUGGGUAAAGAAGCACCGGCUAACUACGUG
rnacentral:rRNA from 1 species